rnacentral:rRNA from 1 species
UGUGAGGGUUGCUGGAGGUAUCAGAAGUGCGAAUGCUGACAUAAGUAACGAUAAAGCGGGUGAAAAGCCCGCUCGCCGGAAGACCAAGGGUUCCUGUCCAACGUUAAUCGGGGCAGGGUGAGUCGACCCCUAAGGCGAGGCCGAAAGGCGUAGUCGAUGGGAAACAGGUUAAUAUUCCUGUACUUGGUGUUACUGCGAAGGGGGGACGGAGAAGGCUAUGUUGGCCGGGCGACGGUUGUCCCGGUUUAAGCGUGUAGGCUGGUUUUCCAGGCAAAUCCGGAAAACCAAGGCUGAGGCGUGAUGACGAGGCACUACGGUGCUGAAGCGACAAAUGCCCUGCUUCCAGGAAAAGCCUCUAAGCAUCAGGUAACAUCAAAUCGUACCCCAAACCGACACAGGUGGUCAGGUAGAGAAUACCAAGGCGCUUGAGAGAACUCGGGUGAAGGAACUAGGCAAAAUGGUGCCGUAACUUCGGGAGAAGGCACGCUGAUAUGUAGGUGAAGCGACUUGCUCGUGGAGCUGAAAUCAGUCGAAGAUACCAGCUGGCUGCAACUGUUUAUUAAAAACACAGCACUGUGCAAACACGAAAGUGGACGUAUACGGUGUGACGCCUGCCCGGUGCCGGAAGGUUAAUUGAUGGGGUUAGCGGUAACGCGAAGCUCUUGAUCGAAGCCCCGGUAAACGGCGGCCGUAACUAUAACGGUCCUAAGGUAGCGAAAUUCCUUGUCGGGUAAGUUCCGACCUGCACGAAUGGCGUAAUGAUGGCCAGGCUGUCUCCACCCGAGACUCAGUGAAAUUGAACUCGCUGUGAAGAUGCAGUGUACCCGCGGCAAGACGGAAAGACCCCGUGAACCUUUACUAUAGCUUGACACUGAACAUUGAGCCUUGAUGUGUAGGAUAGGUGGGAGGCUUUGAAGUGUGGACGCCAGUCUGCAUGGAGCCGACCUUGAAAUACCACCCUUUAAUGUUUGAUGUUCUAACGUUGGCCCGUAAUCCGGGUUGCGGACAGUGUCUGGUGGGUAGUUUGACUGGGGCGGUCUCCUCCUAAAGAGUAACGGAGGAGCACGAAGGUUGGCUAAUCCUGGUCGGACAUCAGGAGGUUAGUGCAAUGGCAUAAGCCAGCUUGACUGCGAGCGUGACGGCGCGAGCAGGUGCGAAAGCAGGUCAUAGUGAUCCGGUGGUUCUGAAUGGAAGGGCCAUCGCUCAACGGAUAAAAGGUACUCCGGGGAUAACAGGCUGAUACCGCCCAAGAGUUCAUAUCGACGGCGGUGUUUGGCACCUCGAUGUCGGCUCAUCACAUCCUGGGGCUGAAGUAGGUCCCAAGGGUAUGGCUGUUCGCCAUUUAAAGUGGUACGCGAGCUGGGUUUAGAACGUCGUGAGACAGUUCGGUCCCUAUCUGCCGUGGGCGCUGGAGAACUGAGGGGGGCUGCUCCUAGUACGAGAGGACCGGAGUGGACGCAUCACUGGUGUUCGGGUUGUCAUGCCAAUGGCACUGCCCGGUAGCUAAAUGCGGAAGAGAUAAGUGCUGAAAGCAUCUAAGCACGAAACUUGCCCCGAGAUGAGUUCUCCCUGACUCCUUGAGAGUCCUGAAGGAACGUUGAAGACGACGACGUUGAUAGGCCGGGUGUGUAAGCGCAGCGAUGCGUUGAGCUAACCGGUACUAAUGAACCGUGAGGCUUAACCUU